UACGUAGGGGGCAAGCGUUGUCCGGAUUUAUUGGGCGUAAAGAGCGUGUAGGCGGUUCGGUAGGUCCGUUGUGAAAACUCGAGGCUCAACCUCGAGACGCCGAUGGAAACCCCCGAACUAGAGUCCGGAAGAGGAGAGUGGAACUCCUGGUGUAGCGGUGAAAUGCGCAGAUAUCAGGAAGAACACCCGUGGCUAAGGCGGCUCUCUAGUACGGUACUGACGCUGAGACGCGAAAGCGUGGGGAGCGAACAGG
rnacentral:rRNA from 1 species